AGAAAAAAAAGAUUAUUUUCAAUGUUAAGAAUCGAGUUUUCAUAAAUGAAGGACACACAAGGUGAUAAGGGUUGAAUGCUAACGUAACAUCAUUAGAUGAGAAGAUGAGAAAGAAGAUCAGAAAUGAGACGUGAAGAAAAUAAAAAAAAGUUAAAAGAAGAAAGGUAGAAACAUCAGAAAUAAGAAGAUAAAAAAAAAAAAUGAAAUCCGAUAACAUGAGAUGUUUUAUGUUGAAAAGAUAGGAGGAUGCGAGGAGAAUAAGAUGAAUAAAAAAAAGGUAUAUACGGUAUUAUUCGUUUGAAGAAAAAAAUCAGGAGUAAAGAAAAAAAAUUAAAAAUAAGAAUGAAUAGUGAGUAUUCGAAAAUCUAGAGCCAAUAAUAGAACUCAAACGCCCAGAGUUAUUUAUAAUAAUAAGUUCAUAGACGAGAGUGAAAUGUCAAGAAAAAAAAAGGAUUGAUCAGGAAAACUUAUAUGACGAACAUGAGAGUUAAAAAUAAAUUCAUAUAUGUAAAACAUUAAAAAAAAAUAGAAUUUUAGGAAAACGAAAUAUGAAAAAUAGAAUUACAAAAACAGGAUGAAAUAGAAAUGAUUUGAAUAAUGGAAAAGUAAAAAAAAAAAUGAGAAAAAGAGAGUUGGAAGUUGAGAUAUGAAAAGUUGAAAAAAAAUGACACAAAAGAAGAGAUUAGAACAAUUAGAAAACAAGAAAUAGUUAAAGAGAAGAAAUUCAAAUAAAAUUAUUAGGAGUCAUGGGCCAAUAGGCUUAAAAAAUCUGAAAUUAAGCGUCAAUAUUGAGAACGGAUGAUGCUUAAGUGACGAGUGACAAAGAUACAUAAGUUUGGUUCGUUGGUUUGUAAGACUCAAAGAUCUCGAAAUAAGGAUAUUGAUAGUCGAAAACUUAAGAUCGGAAUUUUAAAAAAAAAAUGAGUUCUUAGUCAGCAAUCUCGAAAAAAUAGUAAAGAUUCCGAAAUCAAACAUUUAGAGUAGAAAAAAAAUCCAAAGUCUAGCGUUUGUAAAAAAAAAAAUAUAUAUAAUAGAAUUAGUAAAUCAAGAAUAAAGAACCGAGAGUAAGAAAAAUAAACCAAGCUAUUAAGUCACGAGACAAGCAUAAUAAAUCGAGAAUCAGAUUUUAGGAUUCGAAAUUGAAUUUCAAGGAACAUUAGUCAAGAAUUGAAUUAAAAACGAACAUCAAGAGUCAAGACUAAAAAAAAUGACAAUAAGAAUCAAAUGUAAAAUACCAAAUGACAAAAACAGGAGUAAGCAAUGAUAGAAGUAAAUAAGAAAAACCAAAUGCAAAACAGUUGAGAGGUGAAGAAAAGGCAAUAGAGGGGGAUGAAGUUUGUGUGCAUUGGAAGUCAGUAAGAAUUAGUGGUGAAUUAGGUGAAUUGCAAGUAAUUAAAAAAAAAAUCGAUGAAUUACAACACUUUACAACUAAAAUUGAGGAUGAAUGCUUUCUAAAAUGACCGAUUUAUUAAAUAUGUACUUUGAAAAAUACGAAUAAAUAUAUUGAGUUAAUUUCAUUUAAAAAAAAACCUUAAAUAUUGUGAGUUAAAAAAAAAACGACAUGAAAAAAAAUCAAAUCAUGAAUAACUUUGUUUUAAAAUCGCAGUAAUAAUCAAACUCUACAGUACGGGUGGAGGCGAAUGUAGAGAAUAAUGAUAAAUAAAUGAUAUUUAAAAUGAAUUCCUUAGUACACAGCAGUAAAUAACGAAAUUUUAAGAAUAUUUAAAAUAUUAAUAAGAGUUAUAACAACAAAACUAUUGAAAUAAAAAAAUGUUGAUAAUGAUAUAAAUGUUGAUAAUCUUAUCCAUGAUUGACGUAAUUUAUGGUUGAUACCUUAUCAUCCGUUUGUAGCUCUCUUCCAAUUAAAGAAACGCUUCAAAAUGACAGCUUACUCAAUUCAACCAGAGAGUGGAAGAAUAAAGAGAGAGAGAUCACUGUCUGUUACAGAAAAAGAACGAAAACUCUCGAGCUGUGGUUUAACGUCAGUUCGUUAAGAGAUGUUUAUGAGAACAGUUCCGAAAUGUUUUCAGUGACGAGAUAAAAGAAAGGUGAUGUAUCGAACGGAGCGUUUCCAAAAGUCGCGAUGGUUUGUGUGAAAGUGUGUUCGAACGGUCGACAAAAGGUUAGUGAAGUGUUUUAGAACCACCAGUCACGACAUUCACUUAGACUUUACGUGAAAUUCAUGCGCUAGUUACGUAGAAGUAAAGAAAUUACUACAGGCACACGUAAAAUCGAUGGGAUGCAACAAAAUCUUAGUUUACGUGAAAAAUCCCGUAGAAAAAAUUUCUUAAUUAAUUUGGGUGUAGUGAAGAUUAAAGCCCUACAGUAAAAGUGCGGCAGACUGAAUUUCUCACCGAUUCGGCAGCACUGAAAAGGCUUCUGUAAUCCUUCAACACUGCCAAUAACGAAAACAUUCGCAUGACUUCUUGUUGAUGUGCAACUGUGUCGCAGAUUGUGAAGUUGAUUUUCGUUUUGUGAAUAUUAUUUAAUUUGUUCUCCGUUGUGUCAAUUGUUAAAAUAAAAAUGAAGUGGUUCUUUCCGUUUUGCUCCAAUGAAUUUUCUCUGCAUUCUUGAUUAAUUUCAAUUAAAAAAUUGAAAGUCACAAACACACAGAUUGCAAUACUUGCCACGAAUUUGAAAUGGUAAAAAUGGUAAUGCUCGAUUGGAACGACUUUUGACAGUUCGAUUGGAACUCCGCGGUGACAGUCUGCCGCACUUUUAUUUUAGGGCUUUAGUGAAGAUCAAGGUUCUUAGAUACACUAGGUUCUCCGACUUUCAUAGUAAGUACACAGAAAAAAAAUCUGAAUCCUUAACAACACUGAAAUUGGAAACCUUUAAUAUUACAUGACGUUGAACACGAUUAUUCAAUGUGAAUUUACAGAUUGAAAAAAGUUGAAUCCUUAAAAGCAUUGAAUUCUAAUGACAUGAAUAUUACUUGACACGGAACGUAAUUAUUUGAUGUGAAUUUCCAUCACAUAUGAUGUAAAUAAAAAGAAGCAUCACAUAUGACGGAAUUUUCAGUGCGAAUUGAAUAUUACACGUCUUAAAUAUUUUACAUGUCUUUCAAAUUUUACAUGGCAGUUGAAGUUUACAGACGUGUAAUGAUUAAUUCGCUCUGAAAAUUUCAUCAUAUAUGAUCCUUCUUUUUCUUUCUUAAUUCUUAACAAACAAAUGUUGAAGUCUAAACAUCACUGGAAAUAAAAUUUCUAAGCGCUCUCAAAGUAAGAAAAUUCGAUGGUUUCAAUAAGCAAAACGACCGUUUUAAUAAUGUUCAUCGGAGUUCAAUUGAUAUGAUUUUAAAAGAAAAAAAACACCCGUUCCCUCAAAUUUGUGUGCAGAGUGACAAAGACGGAAACUGCGGAUCUUUUGACAAUCCGGUUUCGUUCAGUAAUUUUAUCGUGUUGUUUUGAUGGUGCGGAAUUUGCUUGUUUCCAAGGUUUCCUUUUUUUUCGUUCGCUAGCGUAAAAAAGUUCGGGUCGGUUACAGUCUAGCUUUGCUCCAAGCCAGAAUAAUUUAAGUGAAAAUUGUGUAUUAAGACAGUGACUUUCGUCGAAGGUUUGGACAUAGGGAUGCACUUUGACAAAAUCGGUCCUUCUGACGAGCAUCCGAAAAGCCCACACCAAUAGUACGGAAGAUGUUACAAAUAAUCGUUGCUCAGUGAGCCCGUGAAAUAAGGUUUGUUCCUCGAAAAUUGUCGUCCGGAAAUGGUGCGAAGAAACAUCGAAAAAUCCUGACGGAACAGUAUUUUUAUUUUGCCCGUAUUUCGGAAUGUUUUCCGUCUGGAGUCGGGAAGAAAAAGAGUAAACAAGACGAACGGAAAGCAGCAAUAACCAAAAAGUACGACGAUUGCGACACUGGACACUGGAGAUGGUCAAAAGAAGGCUAAAAGGCAUAACGAAUCCAAGGCAGCAUAGCGUAAGAACAACAAGAAACCGAACGCGCGGCGCAAAUCGAGAACAAUUUGCCGCCCCGAUAGAAAGGCAAAACAGGCGUUUCGUGAUGCGGCCCAAACAGCGCCCAUCUAAAAUCCGGACUCGUUAGUGAAUUGUAAUCGAUGAGUGGUCGUGAUACUACCUUUCUUACGAUGGUUCAUGAUAAACACAUCCACGUCAGAUGCGAAUGCGAUCGAUCUGGACGACGGAAUUGGAAAACAAAAACGCAGUGGUUGCCAGCUCAAUCCCGCAGCCAGUGUAGAUGCGUCCUGGUAUGGCAUGGUGCCAGAAACUAUCCAAUCCAACGACCGAGACAACUCGAACCACAGCAACCGCAACAAGGACAGAUGACCAGUGUAAGAUUCGUCUCAGUAGCAGAUGUACGUUGAAGGCUACGGUCAAGGAAUCCGGAUCAGCAAGGACCCGGUGACUUACGAGUAAAAGUUAGUGUUCUUCAUAGUCAUGCAGUUUUUUAUGUCAUUAUUUUUGCAAAAAAAUUUGUUGGUUGAUAAUUUUUGCCAUGAGUGUCUUAGUGGAUCGAUA